rnacentral:rRNA from 1 species
UGGUGUUACUGCGAAGGGGGGACGGAGAAGGCUAUGUUAGCCGGGCGACGGUUGUCCCGGUUUAAGCAUGUAGGCUGGUUGUCCAGGCAAAUCCGGAUAAUCAAGGCUGAGGUGUGAUGACGAGGCACUACGGUGCUGAAGUAACAAAUGCCCUGCUUCCAGGAAAAGCCUCUAAGCAUCAGGUAACAUCAAAUCGUACCCCAAACCGACACAGGUGGUCAGGUAGAGAAUACCAAGGCGCUUGAGAGAACUCGGGUGAAGGAACUAGGCAAAAUGGUGCCGUAACUUCGGGAGAAGGCACGCUGGUGUGUAGGUGAAGUCCCUGCGGAUGGAGCUGAGACCAGUCGAAGAUACCAGCUGGCUGCAACUGUUUAUUAAAAACACAGCACUGUGCAAACACGAAAGU